AUGGGGGAGACGAGGAGCUGGAGCUCUCUGCUGGUGCACAUUCUGGUGAUCGCCCUCUGCCUCACCGCCUUCGGCUUCGCCAUCGCCGCCGAGCGCCGCCGCAGCACGGGUUCGAUAGUCACAGACAUCAACAACUCCACAUAUUGCACUUAUGACUCCGAUAUUUCCACCGGCUAUGGUGUCGGCGCCUUCCUAUUUCUCCUCUCGGGCCAAUCACUCCUUAUGGGAGUUACAAAGUGCAUGUGCUUUGGGCAACCGCUGGCACCCGGUGGAAGCAGAGCCUGGUCCAUUAUCUACUUUGUAUCUUCAUGGAUCACAUUCAUAAUCGCCGAGUCCUGCCUGAUCGCCGGAGCGACAAAGAACGCGUACCACACCAAGUACAGGCACAUGAUAUACGCGGGGAGCUGGACCUGCGACUCUCUGCGGAAAGGGGUGUUCAUCUCGGGGGCGGUCUUUGUGGUGUUCACCAUGACCCUGAACGUGUACUUCUACAUGUACUACACGAAAUCGACGCGCCAGGCCGCCAAAAAGACCAACAAGGCCACCGCCAAUGUCGGCAUGGCUGGCUACGCAUGA
rnacentral:rRNA from 1 species